CACACAUUAAGGGAAAAAAACUAGUUUCAGUUUAUUGCACCAUCAGAUCAGUACAGACCUAACUCGUUUUAUUCCUUACAUAGGUUAGCCUGCAUGAACUCUAGCUUAGUCCUCGGACAAAAACACCACGUACUGAACUGCCUCAUAAGCUACACGAGAAUACAGCAUGAUAUAUGAAGCCUACCUAAAACCGAUCGAAUUAUUACCAUGCAGUGGCGGCGGCGGAAAUCUACUCCGGAGUAAUACCAGUAAGUAGUAAAGCUACAGGCUCUUCGCCACUUCGCCUAUGUAUAUAUAGUGACAAGUGAGCCACCACCCGCAGCAGAUCGCAUAACACACACCAGUUUCAUCAGAAGGUGGCUCCUCAGGCAGCAGGAGCGCAGUCAUAGUCGUCGUCAUCGUCGUCACUGUCUGUCUCCGCCAUCCUUCGUCGCGCGCUCAGACACCCAUCGCGAAGGGCGCCCGAGGAGGACGCAAUGCUGCCGCCUUGGACGAGGUAGCUGGCGGCCUCCGCUGACACUGGUGCCAUGGCAGUUUAAAGUGUGUGCGCGCGCGAAUUACAAGCUACUACCAAAUUAAUUGACGCCGAGCAGCAAGCUCUUGCUUCCUCAAGCCUCGGGGUAGAAGAAGAAGCUUCUACUGUGGAUGUGUUGUGCUAGUGCUAUCUUAGCAGUGAUGUGAGUACUGGGUAGUGUCUGUGAUUUUGCACGGAGAGGGAGUGGCCGCGUGUGGCGGUGGCUUUAUAGCGCGCGGCCGGCGGAGGGAAG
rnacentral:lncRNA from 1 species